GCAGGAAAGUCAGCCCAGGAGGCAGGCAGCUGUGUCCCUGAGUAUCAGGGGGCCUGCCUGGUAAGUCACAAUGAAACAGACAGUGGCCAGAUGACCCCUGGGCCCUAUCCAGCUCCAGGGGCUAGGGUCCACAUGACUCUGAUGACCGAGCUCAGGGGCUAGAGGAGGGAAGGGAAAUGGCCCCCUAGUUCUCUUUUCAGUUGUCUAUUUCAGAUGGUCCUUAUGAAAGAGGAUCAGCAAAGCUUCCAUCAGAAAAUGAACCAAUAAUCAAGUGAAUGGGGCUUUCGUUUCCUGAAUUGUCUCUAGCCUGUGAGGCUGUGCUUCCAUAUGGAACUUCUGAGUUCUCUACGAACUCGAACAAUGAGUCAUGGGCGAGCCCAGGACUCCCACCCACUUGGAGUCAUGGGGCUCUGACAUGGAGACAAGACCACAGGGUUUCUGUCAGGCCAGAGCCCUGACCCCUCAGCUAAGAUGUUUCUUCUUUGUUCUAGAUUCAGUCAUAUAAGCAGAGGCAGCAGGUACUAGGCCUCAGAGUAAUAGUCCCUGAAGAAAAUAAAGAGAAAGUCUGUCUGAGAAAAGCCAGUUGUGCCAGUUAAAGAAUGACCUAUGGCCACAAUGCCUUACUGGAGGGUGCUUGGGAGCCCAUGUCCUCAUGUCUGUUGUAUCGGGUUAGGGAGAUCCUGGUGCAUUUCAGUGGGGAGGGGGUUGCUGCUGGUCGUGUUUUCACUCCUUCUCUCUCCUUCCCCAGUGACCCCAAGACAAAAUGCUGUUAGGUAAGUGGGGUCUGCUUAGCCCCACUAAGUUCCCCCAUCCACCAUUAGGAAUCAGUGGUAUUGUUAUAGUCUACCAGGACCGACCUGGUGCUGCUCAGAACCAGGGGCUCAAGGCAGGGCCUCCCUUCAUCUUCUUAAAUUAUUCUCUAGCAGCUCUGAGUCUCCCAAAGAUUGGUCCUAGAGAAAAGACUAUGUCAUUUACUGACUUUAGACUCAAAACCAAUCUGAUUAAAUCAGGAAA
rnacentral:lncRNA from 10 species